AGCGUACACGGUGGAUGCCCUGGCAGUCAGAGGCGAUGAAGGACGUGCUAAUCUGCGAUAAGCGUCGGUAAGGUGAUAUGAACCGUUAUAACCGGCGAUUUCCGAAUGGGGAAACCCAGUGUGAUUCGUCACACUAUCAUUAACUGAAUCCAUAGGUUAAUGAGGCGAACCGGGGGAACUGAAACAUCUAAGUACCCCGAGGAAAAGAAAUCAACCGAGAUUCCCCCAGUAGCGGCGAGCGAACGGGGAGCAGCCCAGAGCCUGAAUCAGUGUGUGUGUUAGUGGAAGCGUCUGGAAAGGCGUGCGAUACAGGGUGACAGCCCCGUACACAAAAAUGCACAUAUUGUGAGCUCGAUGAGUAGGGCGGGACACGUGGUAUCCUGUCUGAAUAUGGGGGGACCAUCCUCCAAGGCUAAAUACUCCUGACUGACCGAUAGUGAACCAGUACCGUGAGGGAAAGGCGAAAAGAACCCCGGCGAGGGGAGUGAAAAAGAACCUGAAACCGUGUACGUACAAGCAGUGGGAGCACGCUUAGGCGUGUGACUGCGUACCUUUUGUAUAAUGGGUCAGCGACUUAUAUUCUGUAGCAAGGUUAACCGAAUAGGGGAGCCGAAGGGAAACCGAGUCUUAACUGGGCGUUAAGUUGCAGGGUAUAGACCCGAAACCCGGUGAUCUAGCCAUGGGCAGGUUGAAGGUUGGGUAACACUAACUGGAGGACCGAACCGACUAAUGUUGAAAAAUUAGCGGAUGACUUGUGGCUGGGGGUGAAAGGCCAAUCAAACCGGGAGAUAGCUGGUUCUCCCCGAAAGCUAUUUAGGUAGCGCCUCGUGAAUUCAUCUCCGGGGGUAGAGCACUGUUUCGGCAAGGGGGUCAUCCCGACUUACCAACCCGAUGCAAACUGCGAAUACCGGAGAAUGUUAUCACGGGAGACACACGGCGGGUGCUAACGUCCGUCGUGAAGAGGGAAACAACCCAGACCGCCAGCUAAGGUCCCAAAGUCAUGGUUAAGUGGGAAACGAUGUGGGAAGGCCCAGACAGCCAGGAUGUUGGCUUAGAAGCAGCCAUCAUUUAAAGAAAGCGUAAUAGCUCACUGGUCGAGUCGGCCUGCGCGGAAGAUGUAACGGGGCUAAACCAUGCACCGAAGCUGCGGCAGCGACGCUUAUGCGUUGUUGGGUAGGGGAGCGUUCUGUAAGCCUGCGAAGGUGUGCUGUGAGGCAUGCUGGAGGUAUCAGAAGUGCGAAUGCUGACAUAAGUAACGAUAAAGCGGGUGAAAAGCCCGCUCGCCGGAAGACCAAGGGUUCCUGUCCAACGUUAAUCGGGGCAGGGUGAGUCGACCCCUAAGGCGAGGCCGAAAGGCGUAGUCGAUGGGAAACAGGUUAAUAUUCCUGUACUUGGUGUUACUGCGAAGGGGGGACGGAGAAGGCUAUGUUGGCCGGGCGACGGUUGUCCCGGUUUAAGCGUGUAGGCUGGUUUUCCAGGCAAAUCCGGAAAAUCAAGGCUGAGGCGUGAUGACGAGGCACUACGGUGCUGAAGCAACAAAUGCCCUGCUUCCAGGAAAAGCCUCUAAGCAUCAGGUAACAUCAAAUCGUACCCCAAACCGACACAGGUGGUCAGGUAGAGAAUACCAAGGCGCUUGAGAGAACUCGGGUGAAGGAACUAGGCAAAAUGGUGCCGUAACUUCGGGAGAAGGCACGCUGAUAUGUAGGUGAAGUCCCUCGCGGAUGGAGCUGAAAUCAGUCGAAGAUACCAGCUGGCUGCAACUGUUUAUUAAAAACACAGCACUGUGCAAACACGAAAGUGGACGUAUACGGUGUGACGCCUGCCCGGUGCCGGAAGGUUAAUUGAUGGGGUUAGCGCAAGCGAAGCUCUUGAUCGAAGCCCCGGUAAACGGCGGCCGUAACUAUAACGGUCCUAAGGUAGCGAAAUUCCUUGUCGGGUAAGUUCCGACCUGCACGAAUGGCGUAAUGAUGGCCAGGCUGUCUCCACCCGAGACUCAGUGAAAUUGAACUCGCUGUGAAGAUGCAGUGUACCCGCGGCAAGACGGAAAGACCCCGUGAACCUUUACUAUAGCUUGACACUGAACAUUGAGCCUUGAUGUGUAGGAUAGGUGGGAGGCUUUGAAGUGUGGACGCCAGUCUGCAUGGAGCCGACCUUGAAAUACCACCCUUUAAUGUUUGAUGUUCUAACGUUGACCCGUGAUCCGGGUUGCGGACAGUGUCUGGUGGGUAGUUUGACUGGGGCGGUCUCCUCCUAAAGAGUAACGGAGGAGCACGAAGGUUGGCUAAUCCUGGUCGGACAUCAGGAGGUUAGUGCAAUGGCAUAAGCCAGCUUGACUGCGAGCGUGACGGCGCGAGCAGGUGCGAAAGCAGGUCAUAGUGAUCCGGUGGUUCUGAAUGGAAGGGCCAUCGCUCAACGGAUAAAAGGUACUCCGGGGAUAACAGGCUGAUACCGCCCAAGAGUUCAUAUCGACGGCGGUGUUUGGCACCUCGAUGUCGGCUCAUCACAUCCUGGGGCUGAAGUAGGUCCCAAGGGUAUGGCUGUUCGCCAUUUAAAGUGGUACGCGAGCUGGGUUUAGAACGUCGUGAGACAGUUCGGUCCCUAUCUGCCGUGGGCGCUGGAGAACUGAGGGGGGCUGCUCCUAGUACGAGAGGACCGGAGUGGACGCAUCACUGGUGUUCGGGUUGUCAUGCCAAUGGCACUGCCCGGUAGCUAAAUGCGGAAGAGAUAAGUGCUGAAAGCAUCUAAGCACGAAACUUGCCCCGAGAUGAGUUCUCCCUGACUCCUUGA
rnacentral:rRNA from 1 species